rnacentral:rRNA from 1 species
UACGUAGGGGGCGAGCGUUGUCCGGAGUUACUGGGCGUAAAGGGCAUGCAGGCGGUCGGACGCGUUUCGGGUGACAGUGGGUGGCUUAACUACCCGAGCGUCGAAAGACGGUUCGACUUUGAGGACGCGAGAGGGACACGGAAUUCCGGGGUGGAGUGGUGAAAUGCGUAGAGAUCCGGAGGAACACCGAAGGCGAAGGCAGUGUCCUGGCGCGUAACUGACGCUGAGGUGCGAAAAGCCAGGGGGAGCGAACGGGG